rnacentral:rRNA from 1 species
UACGGAGGGUGCAAGCGUUAUCCGGAAUUACUGGGUUUAAAGGGUGCGUAGGCGGCUUAGUAAGUCAGGGGUGAAAGGUCACGGCUCAACCGUGGAAUGGCCUUUGAUACUGCUGAGCUUGAAUCAGGAUGAGGUUGGCAGAAUGUGGCAUGUAGCGGUGAAAUGCAUAGAUAUGCCAUAGAACACCGAUUGCGAAGGCAGCUGGCUAGACCUUGAUUGACGCUGAGGCAAGAAAGCGUGGGGAGCGAACAGG